GACGAACGCUGGCGGCGUGCUUAACACAUGCAAGUCGAGCGGUAAGGCCCUUUCGGGGGUACACGAGCGGCGAACGGGUGAGUAACACGUGGGUGACCUGCCCUUAGCUCUGGGAUAAGCCUGGGAAACUGGGUCUAAUACCGGAUAUGACUCCAUAACGCAUGUUGUGGGGUGGAAAGCCUUGUGCGGCUAGGGGAUGGGG
rnacentral:rRNA from 1 species